rnacentral:RNase_P_RNA from 1 species
GUAAGAGACCACCGGCGCUGCCGUAAUGCAGCGGCCAGGCAACCCCCAGCUGGAGCAAGGUCAAGCAGGGAUAAAGUCUGCGGGUUCCCGCAGCGGGAAGCGGCUCGUUUUCUUUUGAAUCCCGGGUAGACCGCUUGAGUGUGCUGGCAACAGCACAUCUAGAUAGAUGGUCCUCAUGGAGAGUGCCGUGCGCAAGCAUACCCGCUCUCUACACAGAACGCGGCUUAUCGGCUGGCCUGACAA